rnacentral:rRNA from 1 species
GAAUGGUGGAGAGCUUGCUCUUCACCGUUAGUGGCGAACGGGUGCGUAACACGUGAGCAACCUGCCCUGUGGUGGGGGAUAGCCGGCCUAACGGCCGGGUAAUACCGCGUACGACCUCGGACUCGCAUGGGUCUGGGGUGAAAGCGGCCGCAAGGUCGCACCGAAGGAGGGGCUCGCGGCCUAUCGGCUUGUUGGUGAGGUAACGGCUCACCAAGGCAACGACGGGUAGCUGGUCUGAGAGGAUGGUCAGCCACAUUGGGACUGAGAUACGGCCCAGACUCCUACGGGAGGCAGCAGUGGGGAAUAUUGCGCAAUGGCCGCAAGGCUGACGCAGCGACGCCGCGUGUGGGAUGAAGGCUUUCGGGUUGUAAACCACUGUCGGGGGGGACGAAUACUCGGCCUCGAAUAGGGGAUCGAGGGUGACGGUACCCCCAAAGGAAGCACCGGCUAACUCCGUGCCAGCAGCCGCGGUAAUACGGAGGGUGCAAGCGUUGUCCGGAAUCACUGGGCGUAAAGCGCGCGUAGGCGGCUUUUUAAGUCACUUGUGAAAUCCCGGGGCUCAACUCCGGGGCUGCAGGUGAGACUGGAUGGCUAGAGCUCGGUAGAGGCGAGUGGAAUUCCCGGUGUAGCGGUGGAAUGCGUAGAUAUCGGGAAGAACACCAGUGGCGAAGGCGGCUCGCUGGGCCGGUGCUGACGCUGAGGCGCGAAAGCGUGGGGGAGCAAACAGGAUUAGAUACCCUGGUAGUCCACGCCGUAAACGAUGGGUACUAGGCGUCGGGGGGAGCGACCCCUUCGGUGCCG